CUUUAUCCUGUUCAUUUAUAAAAGCAAGUUUUCAUCUUUCAUUUUAGUCCCCUAUUGGCAUUUGGGUCUUUCGCAAACUGGUGAACAAAAGUUCACUUUCUUUGGCUUGUUUUGUCCCUCGUUAGUCAUGCGCCAUGCGUUACACGUGCGGUUAAAAUUUGAACUAGCGGUGUUAUCGGUGUUACGAAUAGCAACGCUCGAAAAACAAAGAAAAAGUUUCCAGAACGAACUAUUAAGCAGGUAGAGUGCGGAAAUUGAAAUUGCUGACUGAAAAAAGUCUAUAAGCUAUCAAGAAGUUGAAAAAAAUCGUUCUUAACUAUCAUUAAAUUGCGCUCUAGUGAUAACAGUCGCUAUUGUUGCUGAAGAUAUUAAAUAUUGCUGCGGGAAUCGGCAUGAAAAGCGGAUUUUCCGAACGCGAUUAUCGUUAUCUGCAAAUUUCGGACAAGAUGGCGGCAUCAACGGAAGAGUUCGACGUCGAAGAGUUGCUUGAGGCUCCGUACAGAAAGGAGACCUGCCGUUGUAUCAGUCGAUUUUGUGUGGUCAGUGCUUGUGGCGGCUUGAGAGAGAACUGACAAAAAGGUAUAUACUGACGAGAAUAAAAACAGAAAGUUGGUUUAAAAGUAAUAUCCGGUCACGAUUGAAUAACGAUACAUAUGCUGAAUGACGUGAAUCGUUUUCAACCUUGAUCGAAGCAAUUGGUUCAACAUGAGUUGCAUAUCUGAACCAAAUAUGAAACUAACAAUCCAAUCGUAAUAAGCUGUAGUGGUUUAAACGUAUGAUUUUUUCUACUUUCUAGGCUUGAGCAAGAAAUCUCCACAAGCCACAUUUGGGAGAGUUUACACGGUUCCUCUCAAAAGUCAGUGGACGUUCAGUCCAUUUUAAAUGGCAAAUGUACCGACCAGAAGGGCUUUGCUAAAACAUGCUGCAGUCGCUUAUUCGAUAAAAGCAUUAGAAAUAUAAAUAUGUUUUAUUCGAUUUUAGAUCAUAUUGAAGAGAGGCGAAUGAACGUCUAGGCACUGUCAAAAGUUGCUAAAGGCAAGUUUUCAUUACUUAUAUUCUUUUAGUCUUUUGUCUUGCUACAUUGUAUAUGUAGCUGUAAAGUCAUACUGUAUCAAAUCUGUUGAAAGUCGUCGUUUAUAACUGACGCCCAACAUGUGUUUCAGCUAUACUUGUAAUAAUCAAGCAAAUGUCUCCUUAUUUGUCCAGGUGUCGCUAGUAGAAUGCUAGAGCAAUAGGCACAUUUGCACUCAACUGAAAAUGGUCGAAUCAAACGGCUUGCAACACGAUGUUAGGUAAUUAAGUCAUAUAAAGCCUUAUUUGCUUUAGACGAUCGUAAAAAUGCUAAGUAAUUGUUAUCUAUGGCAUCUUAUAUUUGAAUAUAGAUCGAAGAAGUGCGUGUCUUUUACCCCGCUGGAAUCGGCCUUGCAAGCGAAGCACUGGUACAUAAAUGCCGAGAAUGCCGAGUCUAUAAGCAAAGUAAUGACCGACCGAAGACGACAGCAAAGUUUUUUUUUCUUGUCUUACAAAAGCACCGAUGAAUGAGUUUGUCACCGAUCAAAGGUCGAUUCAAGCAUGGUCUUUCGUUUUAGAUUCUUCCAAAUACGGGCUCAGGCGUCGCUGAUCAUCGUUCAUCACUCGUACCCAUAGACACACAUUAGCUCUCUUUGCAGGAUAUAAUGCCACUGGUCGUUUGGUGCUCCUAAUCUUUCUCACAAUCUUGAGCGUGCGUCUGUGUACUGUCAUAACGAAUGAUUUUUUGGGUCUCUUCUAGGUCACGGCCAUUCUGCAAUAAAUGCCGUCGUCAGCAUCGUCGUUGUCUUAGGGUUUAUUGGUUUUUACGAUAAACAGCCAUGCUUGAAUUGGUGUGAACGGAACUGACCCAUUUCUUCGUUGUCUGGUUUGCUGUUUGCUUUUUGUAUUGGUUCAACAUUGUGUAAAAUUUGUUUUUAAAAUAUCAACCACUAACAGUUAAUAUUGAAAUAUUACAAUGGCUUUGGUUUUAGUCACUCGUUUUUUAUUAUUAAAUUAAUUAAGCAAAAAACCAUAAGCCAUUGAAAAAAGGAUUAAGUUGUCUCUUGGUAAUUAAAAAUUGAAUUUUGCACAAUGAACCACAGUCAAGCAUGCUGCAAACUAAGUUAUACCCUUCUCCAUUCCUAGAAAUGAAUCGUUUUCAAAGGAAAUGUUUUCCCUUACAGAUUGCUUGCGUUCAAAGUAUUUUAUGGGCAAAAAUCGCGGCGAAUUCGUUCGUUUGAAUCGGUAACUGGCUGCAACAAGGUAGAACAUAGAUAAACUCGGACAAAUGUAAUCAAUAUACUGUUAAAAAUGUCAACCAACCGAGUGCAUAAGCCAGACACAUUAUCCCUUAUCUCAAGCGUAUUAUUUUUGCAGACAGUGCGAACUCUAGAUGUAUACGCAACACACUUGAUUUACCUUCGCCAUGCACGGUAUUGGUGUGUACGUGUACAAAACAUAAGCACAGCCAGAUGUUAAAUGUUGUGGUCGAUCCGUACAGUACGGAAUUGGUUGAGGUCUUCGAGUCACCCUAGAAACGGGACCUUAUACCGAACGAUGACAGAACAAUGCAAUAACGGUAAGUUAAGUCUAGGGAACUGGAUAAAGCAACGGUGCUGCGUAAUAAAUGGAUCAAGAAGUAUUAUAGGUAAUGCAGGGGUCUUCCGACACAGGAAAAAGCAUUUAUCGCCAUCAACAACGGAUUGUCUAUAAAUGUUAUAUUACACAUAAAUUUAGUACUUUGAAUAAGCAGCAUCCCUGCCAAGCUACAGUUAAGAUUAAUAUCUCUCGAAUAUCUUUCUUUUUCCAUUCUUUAUUGUUUUUCCUCGCACGAAAACGGUUGUAUCACGGUACCCUCUAACCAUGAACGGAAUCUGCUGCCAUCUACCAUCAAUUUACGCACAUCGAACUGGGAUCAAUUCCUCCUGUGAAUGCUUGCAAUCUUUUAUUAUACGAAAAUCCAAAUCACCUGAACUAAAAUCCAAAUCUGAUAUGUAUGUUUGUGUGUGCCCGUUAGGAUGACGGAUCACCGCAAUAUAACGGAAUUUCUCAUGGCGAAAGGAGAGAGCGUGACAGUAAUCGUGGAAAAUCU